UCUGUGGGGAAGCAUUUCACUGUGUGUGAGAAAGCAGGCAGCCUUUAAAGCAGCCAUCCUGUGCUCCGGCAGCCCAGCUUGAGGGAGAGAGCCCGGAAGGAGAUAUUUCUGCUUGGCCCUGAAGCAGCAGGGUGAGAAAGGCCUGAACUUUUGUCUCUCCACGUCACAGGUCACCCCAGGCUCUCUCUGGAAGGGGAGGGGCUCUUCUACUCUCCAGGGGGAUAUUUCACCCACUGAGAUCACAGACUCCUUCCUUGGGGAGAUGUUGACGUGGUCACUGGGUCCUUUCUUCUACUUUGUUGGGGGCUGCAGUCAACCCAGUCCUGGCAUCAAAAGAUAGCAGUUUCUGGAAGCUUCUGGGAAUCCUGUCCCAAUGGGAGAGGCAGUUCCUUGGAGGUGGCUGGGCCUGAGCAGUGCGCGGGUGUCGGAAGUGAGUGGGCAUGGCCCUGUAACUUUCCUCCCUUGGCACUAAGGGAAGCAGAGUGGCCUGCACCCCCCGUCCUGGGAAUGGGUGGGUGCUGGCUUGCUCUGAGGAUCAGUAGCUGGUCUCUAACACAUCUCUGUUAAGAAAAGGACAUGUGGCAUCUUGGAGUCUCAGGCUGUUUGCACCUUGGAGAUCAUCUAAUCCAAUCUUUGCAUGGCCAGAGGAGGGGAACAGAGAAGACAAGUAACUUCCCUGAGGCCACACAGCAGUGCCUUUGCGGGUGGCCACAGCAUGAAACCCUUGGACUUCUUCCUGUGUGUGAACCGUGUGUUAGACACACACCAGAGACCAGGAUCCUGGAAGACAGGCUAGGACCAGUGGUGCCAGGCUGAAGCAAGAAGGAUGCAGACAUGGGCAUGUGGGUGCCGGGCUGCACGUGCCUGCUGGGAUGGAGGCAGUGUGUCCUUGAGUCCUGGGGUGUUCCUGAGCAGAGACCCACAGAAGCCACCAUCACCUCAUUGUCUCAUGUGCUGUGUCAGGAUGCAGGCCUGAGGAGUCGCUUUCUCCGUCCAGCCUGAGAGAUGGUCCUCAUGCCUUGCUUUGCAAAGAGUUCUUGGCUGGGGCUCUGGAGGGUGAGGGAGCUAAUCCAUCGCUCCCUCAGCAGGGGGAUGGGGUUUCUGAUUUCUCCUGCAGGAAUUCCCCCCCGAAAUGAUGGCUCUCCCUCCCCUCUUCCAGUUUGUUUUUCUGUAUGUUAAGUUGUCUUUCUCUUGAACGAAGCACUUAGCCUCCGUGUUCUGUCUGUAAAGUAGGGAUAAUAAUACCUUCCUCACAGUUGCGAGGACUAUAAAGUCUAUCCCGUGUGAAAAAGAGGUGAGUGAAGUGCACCUUACAGCAGAAGCCUAACAGGUUUUUACUCAAGGAGGAGCCUAAAGAGGAAAGGAACUGGAAGGAAGUCUAGGCAAGACCGGGUGAGCAAGCACCCUUGGCUCCCGCAGGGACUUAGCUCCAGCCCCUCUUCAGCGCCUCCCACCUUCCCCCAGCAGCCUCCUCCAGCCCUGGGCCCGGGCAUUGCUGUGGAGACGGGGACAGGCAGGUGGAGGGCAGUCGCUGCCAACUCAGGCUGGCCGUUUCCUCCCCUGACACUCACAGAACAGCUCAGGGCAACCUGCCAGGAGGUGGACAGCCACCAGGGAGCCACCCUGGAGCAAGUGCCCUUCCAAGGCUGCAAAAGUCACCAAACUUGCCAAGCUGGAGUACAGGAGGACCUCGAAGAGUGAGGCUGGGAGAGCCGGGGUGUCAGCAGUAGGGCACCCGCAGUGUCUGACUGGACCCCGUGGUCUCUUUCUCUGUGCUCACCCCUUUUUUUCUCAGGGCUGACUCACAUCUUUACCAUUCUACAGGACAGAGGACCUCACUCUGGAUAAAGAGGUGCUCUCUGCUGCUCGGGCCAGGUCCCCAACCUUGACUCCUUUAGGUCCCUGAGAAGUCAGAGCCCCGCCUCCUUCAUGUCAAGAUGUGAUAGCUGCUGGGAGCCGAGCUAGCUUGAUUUCUCUCCCCACCUCCCUCUCUGGAUCACAGGAGAGGACAAGGGACAGAUGCUGUCUUUAGAAUUUCUUCAGGGAGGCAUUCUUUCUAUUCCUCGGGCUUCCCUAGCCAAGAGUGGGGAAUUAGCUAGGAGACAGCUGCACAGGCAGCUGGCCCUUGGGGAAAUCCUACUCAGUGAAGCAGCCAGGGCCUUGGGCAGAAAACUGUCAGGCGCUUUCCUCCUUUGAUUGGCCUGGAAAGAAGUGCCUGCCUCGAAGCGCAGUGUAAGAACGGACUUCGGACCGGGCUCUGACCACCCUGGGUUUGAAUUUUGGCUCUGUCACUUACCAGCUGGGUGAAUUUGGGCCUCUUCCCUUUCAUAAGUCUGUUUCUCACCUGCAGUAUGGAGAUAAACAUCCCUACUGUCUAAGGCUAUUGUUGGGGUUAAAUGAGUUGAUUUGAAUACAAGUUUCUAUUGCAAGGUCAAGCAUAUUCCAAGAGUCCAGGAAUUGCUAGUUCCCUUCCCCCCUAGUAGAGCAGGGGUCGGAUGACUUUCUGUACUCAGCACAGAUUAACCCCAAGGUGUGGGGAUGUGAUGUGGCUUCUGGCACCCAGGAGCCUCAGUUCUGGAGAAUUCCCUUUCUGUUUCUUUUCACUGGAUUAUUUCAAGGCAGGGCUUUUUGCUCUCAGGGAUAUUGAAGCUUUCAGCUGUUAGGUGCCUAGGCCUUGUUGUAAUCUAAUAAAGCAGGCUAUGGAAGAGACUAGAACUAGUGGAAGAGAGAGAGAGAGAGAGAGAGAGAGAGAGAGCGAGCCAGCUCCUGCUGUAACAAGCUCUUUGGAAGACAGGAAAAGGAAGAGAACAGGCCAGAACUUUACUGUUCUGUAAUUCUACUGUUCUAAAAGACAAGGAGAUAUUGGCUCCCUGCACUCCCAGUCUCCCCUGGGCCAGGGGUCCUGGGAUCCUUGGCUCUCUAGGAGAGAGGGUGGGCACCACAGCAACCACACGAGGGCACCUCUCACCACCUUCAAGACUUCCCGCUCCCAGUUUGCAGUCUGUGUGCUGAGUCUUGCUCCAAGCCUCCGUCAGCCGGGCAGCCGUGUUAGAGCUGGGAAGUGCUUAAUCUUCUCGAGUUCUCGAGUUCUUCUUUUGGGGAAUGUGAUUAAUCCCUGACUUGUCUGCUUUCAAGACCAUCCUGAAGAUCCAAAUUGCACAGAGAGGUGCCAGACAGAAGCAGGGGAGGCAGAUGAGUGGGUGCCUUCCCAUGCAAGCAGGACACACCUGUCUGUCCAGACUCAGAAACCACCUGGGACCUUGAAUGGUAGCCUUGGCAACCGAGGUCCUGGCUGACUCCUACUCCUUCUUUGGGUUUCAGCUUAGACGUCGAUUCUUCGGGGUGUUCUGGACCCUUAGACUGGGUCCCCUCCUGUAAGCUCUCAUGGCAUUCUGCAUAUUCGUCCUAUAGCAUUUAUCAUGAGUCGAGUAGUGUGGUUAUUUCUGUGAUUGUUUAACACGUGUCUUCCACACUGAACUCUAAACUUCAUGAGGAGUUCAUCUCAUUGUCUUAUCACCAGCAUGUAACACAGUGCCUGGCAUG